GUUAGGGGUGGAAAAGACCCAUUAGGUCAUCUAGCCAAUCUCCCUGAUAAGUAAUAAUGAUGCUUGAAUGAUAGAAAAUGUAGUACUGUAAGCAAGCUUUAGUCUUUUAUGUGAGAAACUUAGAAGAAGUGCUUUGUGCUGGAUUAAUAAUAAAAUAUGCCUAAAUGGCUUUUGCAGUAACUGGUAUUUUUCUUGUUCUAAAUAUUCACAUUUACUGAACUGCAAUGUCCACUGAGUUUGACAGUUAGAUUAUGUUUGAAAUGCAAGUGAAGUUGAAAGGAUUUUUAAAGAGUACAAUUCUAGCUAAUUUAUUUGAAAUAUAUGCUAAAGAAAUCUACCAGUUUCUUCAAAUGCAUAGCCUCUUAGCUGAACACAGAUUGACCAAGGAAAUACAUAACUUGGUUUCAUUUUGCAGCAACACAGAUAAAUUGUUUCAUUGCAUGUAUGCAACCAUAGUUUGUCAGAUCAUGUUGUCUGGAGAACAUUAG
rnacentral:lncRNA from 1 species